GGAGGAGGAGGAGGGUGUUAUUUGGGAACAGCAGCAGCCAAAAAAACCAAGGGAAAUAAAGCAGCUCCUCGUGUGUGGCACCGAAGGCAGAGGAUGGGGAGGCACUCCAGGAGCACCAGGCUGGAAGGUGAGUUUGGAGCAGUCCUGGUGUGCCUUUGCCAUGGCCAAUUUUCCUCCUUUCUCCAUAGGAUGGGCCCGUUCCCAGCUGCAAACGGGGGUCACCUCACAGCGAGCACCCCCGUGAACUGGGAAGUUCGGGAAGGAAGGAGCGGGGACUGAGCAACAACUCCCAGGCAGGGCUGGCAUCGGGCCCCCAGGGCUGAGCUGGGGCUGCCCGCCGGCGUUUAUCCCUUUAUUUCCCUGCUGGAAAGCGGCUCCAUCAGCUCCGGCAUCAUCUCUCCAUCCUGAGCGAGCCGUGCUGGGCUGGGAGGGGAGGGCGCAGCUGGAUCCCAGAAUCCCUGUCUGAGCCACCGCAGGGAGCCCGGCAGCCCCUUCCCGGCGCCUCCUCCCUCACCAUGCUGGACAUUUUCAUCCUGAUGUUUUUCGCCAUCAUCGGCCUCGUGAUCCUCUCCUACAUCAUUUACAUGCUCUAGGGAGGCGCCGGGGUGGGGAUGCGGCUCAGCACCAGCCUGGCAGCCCGAGCGCCAUCCAGCCUCUGCCUGGUCCGUGUCCCUCGGAGCCUUCUGGAAGGGCGUUAACCCCUGCGAGCCCAGCGCGGAGCACGGAGGGGCCGGGGGGGGGAAUGGGGAGGAGGCUGCGAGGGGAUACCCCUCUGCCGGGACCUGGGUUGUCCCGGGGGGACGGGGAGGGUCCUGCCCCCCCCUUGGGAUGAGCCCGUCCGAAGCUGGUCAUCUGGGUUUCAUUUCAGGAGAGCACUUCUAUUUUUAAUGAAAAAUAAAGUGGGAUGAAAUGGAAUAAAGAGGAAUGGCACGGGA